GCUUGUCUCAAAGAUUAAGCCAUGCAUGUCUUAGUGUAAAUAACUCUUAUGAAACUGCGAAUGGCUCAUUAAAUCAGUUAUCAAAUACGUGAUGGUCGCCUACUACAUGGAUAACCGUAGUAAUUCUAGAGCUAAUACAUGCACAAAGGCCCACUCACGUGGGUUGUGAUUAUUAGAUUCAAACCGGCCUCGUUCUGGUGAUUCAUAAUAAACGAAUGGAUUGCAUGCUUUGGCUGGCAAUGUAGCAUCUAAGUUUCUGACCUAUCAGCUUCCGACGGUAAGGUAUUGGCUUACCGUGGCAAUGACGGGUAACGGAGAAUUAGGGUUUGAUUCCGGAGAGGGAGCCUGAGAAACGGCUACCACAUCUAAGGAAGGCAGCAGG
rnacentral:rRNA from 1 species